CCCCACGAAGCUGGAUUCGCUAGUAAUCGCGCAUCAGCCAUGGCGCGGUGAAUACGUUUCCGGGCCUUGUACACACCGCCCGUCAAGCCAUGAAAGCCGGGGGCGCCUGAAGUCCGUGACCGCGAGGGUCGGCCUAGGGUGAAAACCGGUGAUUGGGGCUAAGUCGUAACAAGGUACC
rnacentral:rRNA from 1 species